CGAAUGAACGCUGGCGGCAGGCCUAACACAUGCAAGUCGAACGGCACCUUCGGGUGUAGUGGCGGACGGGUGAGUAACGCGUGGGAACGUACCUUUUGCUUCGGAAUAGCCUCGGGAAACUGGGAGUAAUACCGAAUGUGCCCUUCGGGGGAAAGAUUUAUCGGCAAGAGAUCGGCCCGCGUUAGAUUAGCUUGUUGGUGAGGUAAUGGCUCACCAAGGCUACGAUCUAUAGCUGGUCUGAGAGGAUGAUCAGCCACACUGGGACUGAGACACGGCCCAGACUCUUACGGGAGGCAGCAGUGGGGAAUCUUGGACAAUGGGCGAAAGCCUGAUCCAGCCAUGCCGCGUGAAUGAUGAAGGCCCUAGGGUUGUAAAAUUCUUUCGACGGGGAAGAUAAUGACGGUACCCGUAGAAGAAGCUCCGGCUAACUUCGUG
rnacentral:rRNA from 1 species